rnacentral:misc_RNA from 1 species
UGCUUUGCUUUGACCUACCACUUGUAUCUCCAUCUUGUUGUCCUAUGAAUAAAAGAGAAGGGAGAAAAAUUGUAGGCAUAAAUAAAUAGCAUAACAAAUAAGACAUCGAUGCCUUUAGGCUAACUUUAUAUAUUUGAAAAGGGCAAAUAGAGAAUCAAUUCCAUUGUCUUUUACCCUCAGCUUCAUCUUCAUCCUUGUCAUCGUCAUCGUCAUCGUCAUCCUCAUCAUCAUCUUCAUCAUCAUCAUCAUCAUCAAAAAAAGAUAAGCCAGUGUCAGAAUUAUGUCUUCUAAUGCUCAAAUAGGCUUC